CUGUAGAGAUUUCAGCCUCUACAAGCUGGACCCACUCUGAGGUUUACUGUAGAGACUUCAGCCUCUACAUGCUGUGAGAUCUGCAGGAGCCACCCUGAGGUUUACUGUAGAGACUUCAGCCUCUACAUGCUGUGAGAUCUGCAGGAGCCACUCUGAGGUUUACUGUAGAGAUUUCAGCCUUUACAUGUUGGAGCCACUCUGAGGUUUACUGUAGAGACCUCUGCCUAUAUUCUCAGCUAAAUCUGGUGUGGUGUGCUUCAUGCUUUUCAUGUUUUUUUUUAAUGUAAUUUUGAGAGUUUUAAAGCCUUGAUGUAUUAUUUUAAUAUUUGCUUUUUUUUUUAACCUUUUACUUAUUUUUAUUUUAUUUUUUAAACAAAUAGGUUUUUAGUAUUUUUGUUAUUACUUUUUAAAUGUAAAACACAGCGUAUUUUGGCAGGUAACUACAUUUUUUCCAUUUUUGGGAGCGUUACUAUUAAAAUGCAGUGCCUCUAGGUGCCUCUAGGGGGCUGCGUACAUGAAUCUAGGAAGGCUGAUUGCUGACCAACACGCACACCUGCUUUUUAAAUUAUCCGUUUAAUUUUCUUUUUGCAAGCACACUAAUCUUACACUGCACUGUGUUCACAUGCUGACAAAACAAGGGGUAGAAGAAACACGUAUAACCCCUGUAUGCUCUUGUAAGUUCCAUUGUAAUCCACAAUGUUUAACUUUUCUUUUUCUUUUUUGCACGUCUUUUGAGUCUUGUCAGGGAUCAUCCCGGGCAACUGGUCUCCCCGAUCUAAACCUACAUUUUAGCUUGUUCAUCCAACCCCAUAUCUCUGUUGGCUUUGUGUGUGUGUGUGUGUGUGUAUUCUGAAUGUUAACUUGCAGUUUCCCUCUAUAGUGUAAGUUAGUCUCUGGGUUUCAUUAAAAAAGUAGAAAAAAGGACUGUUAAAAAAUGGUUUUGUUUAACUGUAAGACGAGUUACAGAUAUAGAUACAGUAGCAAAGGCUGUCAGUGGGUAGAGAAACUAAAAAAAGAAAUGUGUACACACUAACAGUCUCUCUUGUUUAGACUAUUAGACUUGUGCAAACCUGUUUUGGUGAGACUUUUAAAAAAAAGUUUGUUUCAUACAUGCCAUGGCAAUAUGAAAUUCAACGCGACAGACACAUUAAACUUUAAAUUCUCUGUAAAAUAUAUUUUAGUGUUUCGGUAAAUUAAUAGGUCAUAUUACUCCACAAUAUCAGGAUAUGUUGUAUUUUGUAAUAAGACAAGAAUUCACCCCUCACUAUCACUGUUGUUCAAUAAAUGCAAUGUAAUCCCUU